CUGUCUGGACUCAGACAAUUGUGGUUGUUUAUAUAUACCUGUUUGGCAGUUGGAUUUAUUGAUGAUUUAUUCUCUGUUAGAAACACACAUAAAGAUUACAGAAUUUUUGUACUGGUUUAUAUGUAAUUAUGUGGCUGAAACAGUACUGUGUGAACACACUGACAAGGUCACGUAGCACAAUUUGGACUAUUUCUUCAUUUGUUGGAUAGUUUGUCAAGUUGACCUCUUAGUUAUAUUGUGUCCCAUAGUGGUGAUGAUGGUGGUGAUGUAUGCUUUGGGAGAUUUCCUUAGACGUUAUAGAAAAGAAAAGGUAAAAACAUUUCUUGUGGCACCUAAUUAAAUUAUUUUGCUUACUUGU
rnacentral:lncRNA from 1 species